UUUCAAAAUUACAAGGCUCUACUUAAAGCCCGACAAUCUUAUUGUGUCGCCAAAGACGUGGUGAUAAAAUUGUGGCAAAGAUGUCUGGCUGAACUAUUUAUCUGUCCAUUGUAGCUUCUACAAGAGAUAGAGAGAGAGUAUAUGAUUUGGACGAGAGUUAUCUUCUUGUCACUUGUGUGACUUAAAUGGAGAUAUAAACAUGGCCACAGCUGAACGAGAUCUGAUACGCGUCUCCCCUCUCUUUUUCUUUCUAUAUAUUUCGUUCGUUUAACAGGUGAUUAGACAUACACAUCCCUACAUUUACUUUGUUGCUUUUGCUGAGGUGCCAAAACUUUAAAUGAUGAAGGUUGCCGUGCUGCUGCUGCUGGUGAUGGCUGUAGUUACGCAAUGGCAAGUCACGGAAGGCUGUAGGACCAAGGGACAACAUUGUUUACCUUCUGUCCACUGCUGUAAGGGCUUGAUAUGCGAAGCCGUUUCUGUUAUGCCUAUAUUAUUCGAAUGUCGGUGACCAGAUGGGACGCACUGUCUGCACGCUAACAAGUUGUAAAAUGUUGAGUUAACAUACACUUGAUAUUUUGACUUGUACUAAGUCCAUUUCAAGAUGGCUUAUGCUCUCUUCUUCUGGAUAAUAAAGCAAUAAUUUGACUCUU